CUCAUGUUGACCCUGUGAUUACACAAAAAAAUCACACAACCUCACGUGGGAAGGCUGACAUUUAAUCUCCGUCUGGGCUGUUCUCGUGCACUGCUUUGCUGUGUGUGCCCAAGUACUUCCCAGCUGCCCAGCCCUCCCUGCAGGCUGGAGGGGGAGAGCAAUGUCAAAGAAGCACGAAGCUUCCCAGUUUUCCCUCUGCAGCAGACGCUCAGUCGUUCAUUGUCUCAAGGUCGUUAAGGAAAAAUGUAAGCCUGUGCGCCUCAGAGAGAUAAUGAUGUUUGUUAUUCACGAUGACUUUCCUCUGCUUUUAAAAUUUAAUUGGUGUUCGCUUUUUAGCUUCUGUGACUGCCAAGUGACCAUGAGGGCAGUUGUCCUGCUGGGGGUUUGCAGCCAGCUCAUGAGGGUCAUUUUAUUUGACAAGGGUCCUUCCUUAACGGGUCACCAAGAAUCCCAGGAAAGAUGAGUUGCACCUGAUGGAGACCUCCACAGACAGAGAUAACCCUUUCCUGGAAAUGCAGCCAGCACUCAGUGAGAAUUCCAGAGCUCUGACACCGGGACUGAGAUAGAAGCAGCUGGAUCCCAGCUAACCAGGUGACCCUCUCAA
rnacentral:lncRNA from 1 species